CAUAAUCUAUUCCCUUGAAAAGAAAGGUUACUAUUUAAUGUUUUUUCCUUUCCAGAAGAGAUGCACUCCCAAGUGGCCCCCAUCACUGACCAGACUGAACUACAAGGACUGAGCAUGAUGAGUGGAGGAUCAGUGCCAGGUCACAGAGAUGAAUACUGCAAGCACUGCUGAUAGAUGCAAUAGAAAAUACUCACUGAGCUGGUGUAAGGGAGCUGUGACCAAGUUAUCCUCCAGAUAUUAAUGUUUGGUUGCACCUAGGAAAAUAGAAAGUAGCUGUAGUCCACCAGCAGCUGACCAGUGAACAGAGCUGGCUAGUAUUAGUCCUUAAAAUACACCAUGGUAUAUAAAAAUUAGACAAGUGCAAUUUCCAUUCCUUUGAUCAAGC
rnacentral:lncRNA from 1 species